rnacentral:lncRNA from 1 species
GGUAAUAUAGUUUCCUAUAUGGUAUAGAAACGAAAAUUUUCCUUUACCCAAUUCCCACACAACCCAAGCCUAUUCCCAUUUACCCUUAUCUGAUAAAAUAAAAUCCUAGACAAAAAAAUAACAAUGAGAUCUCUUUCUCUUCUAAAAUGAAGAACGUUGUUUCCCCUGCUUCUUCUUCUUUCUUUACCUACAAAAACUUUAACCUGACUCUUACACUUAGAAAUUCUCACCUAUCUCGCUCAUUGAUAUAGAUGCACACAUAAGUACUCCCUCUCAUCCCCUCACGGAGAUGGGAAACAGUUUUCUGAUUUAAACAUUUGGACCCAGAUCUGAAAAAUUCGAAAAAAAAGAAGACCAAAGGAUCCCAUCCAUUGUUCAGAGUUGCUUUUUUACUUUGCUGGAUUUUUAAAGCUGUUGGACGUGUGGGAUUGUUGCUGCUUUGUUGCAAUUUCGCUGAGAUCCGUGGCUGGUUUCCUUACUUCUUAUGUUAGCUUUUAUUCGGAAGUUGUCGUAUUGUUCUUUUGGGUCUGGUGUGAGAAACCUUUUGGUAUAUCUCUAUUGAGGUAAGCUCUUACCAAUAUUCCAUAUUUAAGCUCACUUGUUAUAUUAAAUUUAAUCCUGAAACGGAUUUGAUAUAUUCUGAAAUUGAUUCAAGAAUAGGAUGUAAAUCUUGUUCAUUUUAUAUGUUAAACCACUGUGUUGAUGUUUUUUUGAAUGGUUUUAAGUUGAAUAAAAUGUCACAUUUUAAUGAGCAUGUUAUUGAUUUUAUUGUGGAAAGCUACAACUGCAAUUGUUAGCUAUAAAGAUUUUUGCUUAGUACUUCAAGUUUGUAGUCGUGUAGUAUCGUAUAUCCAAUAAAGUGUUUUUUUAGUGUGGUUAAAUUGAAUGCAUCUGGAGUGUAACAUUUUUUUUUUGAAUUGUUAAAUAUGUAACUUGAUCUCAUUUUUCCUGAUGGACGACUAUAACUUAUUGGAUUCAGUCAUAUAAACAACAAUUUUGGCCCAUAAUAUAUUGUGUUUCCUCCCUUUUAGCCUUAGUCUGUUAUUAUCAAAUACCUUGUAUGGUUAUUACUUGAUAUCAGUGCUUCUUCUACCUUUUCUUUAGCCUAGGGUCUAUCGGAAGCAGUCUCUCUGUCCUUCUAGAGUAGGGGUAAGGCUACAUGCAUCAAUACCCUCCGACCCCACUUAUGAGAAUACAUUGGGUUGUCAUUGUUGUUGUAUGGUAUACAAGAUUUUUAUGAAAGGUAUUUUAAUUUAGUUUGAAGUAUAUUAUAUUGCUCAUACUUGGCCUCAUAUAAUCUCAAAGACUAGGAAAAUAAUUCAACCGUAGUUUGCUUUAGGCACGCAAUUAAAAUUAUUACAACUACGGGUAUAGUUCCUGUGACAUGGUUGCGAUACCUAAUUUUAAAUUAGAUUAAAGUAGGAGCAUCUUUAGUUUGCCCUAGAGAAAAAUAUAAAUCUUUUCUUUUAAAAAUGAAUUGAGGUGCGCCAUAUGCAAAUAAAAUCCAUAACCUAUAGCUCUUACAUAAAUAAAUUUAGUAUAGAAAAUGCCUUGAACUAUCGUAGCUUGCUUUAGGCGCGUUAAUUAAAUAAUUGUCAUAGCUACGGGUACGGCUCUCGUGACAUAAUCGUGACGCUUAAUUACUAAAAUUCGGGGGUACAUUUAUAUGACCCGGCCACAACAACUAAUAAUGCUAAUAAUUUAAACAUGUUGUAAAUUGUGGGUACAGUUUCCGUGACAUGAUUCGCAAUGUGUACCAAACAAGCAAAUGUACGACAAUCGUAACUUGUUCCAGAAUAAUUUCACAAAUAAUUAAAAGCGGUUAAAAGUUAAAAAUGCACUAUAGGUUUAAAACGUAUAGUAAAUCAGAUAAUAGGCCAAUAUUAAUAGUUUAAGCGACCGUGCUAGAACCACGGAACCCGGGAAUGCCUAACACCUUCUCCCGGGUUAACAGAAUUUCUAUUUCUGGUUCACAGACUUAUAAAGUAAAGUCGAAAUUUCCUCGAUUUGGGAUUUUAAAAUAAACCGGUGACUUGGGACACCACAUAAAUUAUUCCAAGUGGCAACUCUGAUUAAAUUAAAUAAUCACAUAUUGAUUUAUGUCACUUUAAUUGGAAAAACUCCUAUAUACCCUCGGGUGGUAAAAGAAAGGAGGUCUGAUAGCUCUGACGACUCCGCUGGGGAAAAGAACCCAGAAUCUCUGGUUUAGGGUUCAAGAAUUCGAACUUAGAAUUAUUUUUAUAUUUGGCUUUUAUUUAUUAUCUGGUUUUAUUACAUGUUUGGGCCUAAUGUACUAAAUGUUGUUUUUUACCGCUUUGAUAUUAUCUGAACUGUAUAUAAACUGCUACGAAACCCUUCUCUUCUCAUCUCUAGGGAUGUGCACGCUGGCGUGACUCCUCUCUAGUUAGUGUCAUACCUUAAAUUAGGAAGAGGCUCGGACAAGUUAUAAAGCCGGAUGGCCUUUUGGUUUCCGGUACGUUGCCCUCCCUCCCGGCUCCAAUUGUACGCUCGGGUAAGCCAGGUCUAGAACAAUACACCCAGGUUUUAAACCUAGAAUAACUUAGCUUCAUGUCAGAUCCCUAGUAGGAACGCUUGUUUGUAUCAUGUGCAUUUGACUUUGGGGACUCAACACAGGGGUUGGGUCCGUCUAGGACAGGUUUACCCAAAUUAAAAGACAAUCCUGAUGCAUCUUACGUGCUACUUACACAUUGUUUAUUUCGGCUUGCAUGUUGACCGACUUCUAGAAUAGGGAAAGAAAAAAAGAGAAAAAACAGAAAAUCAAAAAAAAAGUGAGGCAGAUGUUUACGAAAUUCUGAAAAAAGAAGUCAUUUCAAAAUGAGCCAAAAUUUUCAAGUGUCAUGUUUCCCUUGUUUUGUCAAAACUGGCAAACUACGCGGGUCUGAUUCUACCGAAUGUGAGAUACGUAGGCAAACCUCAUCGGUUCCGGUCCACCAUUUCAAAAAAAUUCAAAAAUAUUUCCCUUUACUUCUUUCUUUAGAAAGUCUUUCUUUUAAACCCAAAUUUUUUUUAAAAAAAAAUAAUACAAAAAUAUUUUCUUUUAGUCUCUCUCAAAAUCCAAAAAUAUUUUCAUUCUUAGUUCAAAAAUUCAAAAGAAAAUUCUAGAUUCAAAAAUAUUUUCUCUUUUCUUUAUAAGUAUUUCUUUCAUAAAUUCAAAAUAAAAAUCCAAAAAUUCAAAAAUAUUUUCUUUCUUCUUUAGAAGUUUUCCUUUCGAAAUUCCAAAAAAAAGAGAAAAUAUUUUCUUUCUUCUUUAGAAGCCUUUUUUCAGAAAUUCUCAGGAAAAAAAAGCAAAAAAUCAAAAUCGAAAAAUAUUUUCUUUAUAAGUCUUUCUUUCGAAAAAAGCCCAAAAUACCAAAAAAAAAUGAGUUAGUUUAUUUACUUUAUUCCUAAUUUUCCCGAACUAUGCAAGUUCCGAUUCAUGUUCCCACAUGAUACGUAGGCAACCCACAUCAGGUUCGAUCAAAUAAUUUUGAAAGGAAAAAGAAAGAAAGAAAAGAAGGUGAAAAAAAAAGAGGAAGAAUGAUAAUAAUAAGGACUGACUGAGUCCAUUCUAACAUGUUUUUAUUUUGAAUUGUGAAGAAAGUUGAGGUGUUCGGUUUGUGGUAAGCUUGCAACACAAG